GACGAACGCUGGCGGCGUGCUUAACACAUGCAAGUCGAACGGAAAGGCCCUGCUUUUGUGGGGUGCUCGAGUGGCGAACGUGUGAGUAACACGUGAGUAACCUUCCCUUGACGUUGGGAUAACUUCAGGAAACUGGGGCUAAUACCGGAUAGGAGCUCCUGCUGCAGGGUGGGGGUUGGAAAGUUUCGGCGGUUGGGGAUGGACUCGCGGCUUAUCAGCUUGUUGGUGGGGUAGUGGCUUACCAAGUCUUUGACGGGUAGCCGGCAUGAGAGGGUGAACGGCCACCUGGGGACUGAGAUACGGCGCAGACUCCUACGGGAGGCAGCAGUGGGGAAUAUUGCACAAUGGGCGGAAGCCUGAUGCAGCAACGCCGCGUGCGGGAUGACGGCCUUCGGGUUGUAAACCGCUUUCGCCUGUGACGAAGCGUGAGUGACGGUAAUGGGUAAAGAAGCACCGGCUAACUACGUG
rnacentral:rRNA from 1 species